rnacentral:rRNA from 1 species
GAUGAACGCUGACAGAAUGCUUAACACAUGCAAGUCUACUUGAUCCUUCGGGUGAUGGUGGCGGACGGGUGAGUAACGCGUAAAGAACUUGCCUUGCAGUCUGGGACAACGUCUGGAAACGGACGCUAAUACCGGAUAUUAUGAUUGAAUCGCAUGAUUUAAUUAUGAAAGCUAUAUGCGCUGCGAGAGAGCUUUGCGUCCCAUUAGUUAGUUGGUGAGGUAACGGCUCACCAAGACGAUGAUGCAUAGCCGAGUUGAGAGACUGAUCGGCCACAUUGGGACUGAGACACGGCCCAA